GGAACCUAACCCAGAUGAUCCUCUUAAUAAAGGUAUAGUCAAUAAUGUGUUUUAAUCAUUGUUAGACCCGGAUCGAGACGAAUCCCGUGAACUAUUGCCCGAAGUGAUGAUAUUUCCCGCGAGAGCAAAGCCCCAGGGUAGUAUUUCGAGGGUAAUAUUUCGCCGUAUCCCCCGAGCGGUCUAUGACUUGUAUAUUACACGAGCGGUCUGUGACUAAGUGACAUUAGUGACUUAUAAAUUAACUAUUUGAGUACAAUGUUUUAUUUUUCUAUUCACACGAGUUUUUGUCGCUUUUCUUUUAAAUUAUUCGCUGCAUGAGGUGGAAAAUGUUUUCUCCUUUCUGGAAAUCUGGGUUUAUGGCUCCGCAUUUUCUGGAAAAGAUUGCAAUAAAUAAGGAAAAUAACAAAAUUGUCAUUUGUGGUGUUGUCGUGUGAAGCAAUAUAUAUGAUUUAUUACUGAUAAAUACAUUGUGAGAUAAAUCUUAUAUUACUGAUAAACACAUUGUGAGAUAAAUCCGUAGUUGUUAAGUCUUACAUUAUUAAAAAACAAAUUUCCUACUGCAGGCUAUAUGAAUAUUUUUUAUGAAACUAUUCCACUGACUGUAAUUUAGGUACACUCAUUCCAGUAGUCAGGUAAUUAGCAAUUUCGAUAUUCAAUCAGUCUAAUUUUCAGAAUUAGCUAUCAAACAUAAAAAAUGUCCGUGAAAAUUUCUGCAAAAACGUGGAUCCUAAAACAUUUCUAGGAACUGGGUUACCAGUUUCCGAUACUUUUUCCGCUUCUAAUUAUUUGAUUAUUGCACUACAUAAUAAUAUUCGUGAAAAAAUUCAGUACAUUUUUUUCGAAAUACAGUACCAAAAAGUGAAUACAGUUACAGUGCAGACAAAUGAAAUACAGUGCAAACAGUGAAAAUAAUACAAAAACCCAAACAUUACGAGUGAGAAAAUUUUCUAAUAAUAAAAAUUGUUUCUAUUAAAGUUAUCUAUUUCGCAUGUGACUUACGCAUGGACAUGACUGCAUAAUUUUUUCAAGUAUAUUAUUAAUAAGUAAUAGUAAAUACGGUUUCUCGUGGAAUUUGGAAAAACAUACACUCGUGAGCAGUGGCGAAGCCAGCCCGACAGUUUGGUCAUGCUAUGCAAAUUUUAAAUCAUCAUUCAUUUCUUCAAAAAUUGAUUGUUUUCACUGUCUAUGAACACGGAAAUAUUUGCAUAGCAUGACCAAAUUGUCGGGCUGGCUCCCCACUGCUCGUGAGUUUUCAAGGACUUCAAAUUGCACUCGCUAUGUUCAAAUUGCACUCGUCCUUCGGACUCGUGCAAUUAUCACUCGUUCAUGUUUUUUCCCAAAUUUCACUCGAAACCUAUACAAAUCUUGAACGAUUUUUUCUUCUGCAUCCUAGACGCUGCAGAAGUGCUUCGAUCAAACAGAAGGUUGUUUGAACAGAAUGUUAAUAAAGCGAUGAGAGGAGGUUAUGUAAACGGUAUAUACUUUGAAAGAUGUCUUGGACGGUAAACAAUUUGAACAGGAAAAUGUAAACAUCAACGGCAUGAUACCCAGCAUGAAUGCACAGUAUAUAUAGUAUAAGAAAGAAGAAAUUCGACGGGAGGGGGUAGUUUUCUUUCUGUACAUUGUACAGAGUACCACGGAAUUCUGAAAGUAACGAUCCUCGAAAGAACCAUUGGCUGUAUUUAUAUCUGAAGACGUCUUAAACGUCUGAGACGAAUUACUUACUGUAUGUAAUGUAAAUACUUAAAGUUCGACGGAAGAAUGAAGCUUUCAAAGUGACUUGACAGCCAGCAGUCGGCUAUUUACGCGGCUAAACUCCCAGUAUUAUGGUGACUAGUUAAAAUCUACCUUUUAUAAAAUCAACAGAACCCAACCCCAAACCCUUCCCCAUAGCUAACCCUAACUGGUAAAUCUGAUAAGCAAUUGAGAGUUAAAAAAAAAAACAGAAAAAAUCUUUCCGUAUAGAUGCAGGCAUCAUUUCAUGUAAAAGUUUAAUAUUUUUGUAGUCUGCUGUUUGUUAGCUCAGGCUUUACUAUGUCUCUGAGAAACUAGAGCAAGUGCUUAUUCAGAAUAAGUACAUUUUAGAAACACCAUGCGUCAUAAAAACCAAAGUUACCUGAAGAGUGAAAAACAAGUUCGGGUAACCAACCGCGGAGAAACGUCGGCAAACUUUUGUGUUUAUUUCUGGACUAUCUAUGACGGAUUUGAAAAGAAAACAGAACAAUACGCGCUGCAGUUGUAUCGAUCUUAUAUACUUGCAUUUUUUAGCUUUUAGGUACUUGUUGGUUAUUUACCACUAAAAAUGAGCAUUUACGUGCAGAAAUUGAAAAACAUCGCAGAAUGCAACUGCAAAAAAUUUACAUUAUUACAAAAUAAAUAUCAGGUGGAAAAAUAAAUAUUCGCUGUAUGGCUAUCUGGUCACUUCGUAAAAAUUAACGUUGUCUGUUAGAUUCGUCUAAAUGACGUAUUUAACAAACGUCUUUAUCGUCUUAGACGUUUAACCGUCUACUAUAAAUACGUGACGAGCAAAUUUAGACGCACUUAAGAAAGAGCCACUCAGACGAAUGUCCCAAAUCCAAAUACUCUAUACCGUAUUUUUGCGAUUACGUUCUUGGUGAUAUGGUCAACAGUUCAGCUCGUAUUUAUAUUAUUCGCACGUAGCACCAGUGGCGUAACUUGUGGUAAAGGUCCUACCCGUUUAAAGUAGCGAGUGUGGGCGGGGGCUACGUCAAGAACAUGCAAAAUUUCCUGAAAUUCAUCAGUUUCACCAUUUUUUGAGCCAUCAGUUUCGCCAUUUUUUGAGCCAAGCGGUGCCUAAAGGAGUUACGCCACUGCUUAGCACAAAACGUUUAAUUCGUCUAGAUACCUAACACGUGUUCUAGUAUAAUAAAUACGACCAUUAUUUUUGGGAUAUUUUAGAAAUUUACUCUUGGGUACAGAACCUUAAUCCUGGAAAUAGCUUCGCCCUCCUGUCCAAAAUAACCUGUCCUCGUAUACCGGUUAUCAAUACAUAUGUACAGUAUAUCGAUUAAUAUUUGCAUAAGGAGUAUAGGCAUGGCCCGGUAAAAUAGGAAGACGAGUUGCAACGAAUUCUCAGAUUUGGCUCUGGGGGUGUCGAGAAUUCGGGGGGGGGGGGAGAUGAGCGAGGCACGAGUUGGGACAUUCUCGUACCCAGACCCCUUCUUACGCGCAGUCAGCGACGAAGGGCUCUGGCAAAAUCCAACCCAGAUACUAUAAAAACAUGGUAUCCGGUUAUACACUGCGCAUGCUCAACUCUUAUAGGAUAUGUGUGAAAUUCCAGUAGUUUGUUGCCAAAUACUCAUUUAGUGUGUUGAUUUACAUAAACUUUAACUUUGAUUUUCUCGGCUUUAUAGACAAUGUUUAUUUUUAAAAUUACUUCGCCAAUGAACUCAUAAGAUGAGUUGUUUUUUAAGCCAUUUACAACAUUCGCGUCCGUGUUGUAUUUGAUAUACAAACUCUCGCUUUCUGCUCGAGUUUGUAUAUCCAAUACAACACGGCCGCUCAUGUUGUAAAUAGUACAAGUGAACUGUUUAACAGAACUCAUCUAUCUAUCUGUAUACAUGGUCAUUACUCCACUGUUGUCACUGCUGUUUUUUAAUAUAAAAUGUUGUCACACGAAAAUAACGCUAAUUGAUUUUAGGGUGCUUUUUGUUAUUAACUGAUGUAGUUAAUAAUUACUUACGGUAGUCUAUUUUACACCGAUUUUACAUAGUACUUUUCACUUAAAAAAUGUAAUUUUUUGUUCAGUCACAAUAUAAAAUUGUAUAUAUGGCCACAUAAAAUAAAUUCCUUGAUUCUCAUCACUACACUUUGAAAAUGUCGAAGAGCCGGGAGGUUUAUAUUUUAUAUUUUAUAUUUAUAUAAUUUAUCAUCAAUAAAUAAAAAAAUAAUUCCUAACAUUUAAUAUUUCUGUGAUUUCCAAAGUAAAGUAUCACAAACCGAAAUAAACAUUAUUUCUCCACGAACAAUGACUGAACCCUUCAACUGAAUGCGAAGUUCCGUUAAAAUGCAAUGAAAUUUCUUUCAAGGUUCUAUUUGUUUGAAAUUGGCAGUUUAAAAUGGCAAUAAAAACCCAAUUUUAAAUAUAAAAAACUUAACUGUCUUGAAAUUUUUUGUCGGGCGGUACAUUUAUAUUGUAUAACAAAAUAUAAAAAAAAUUCACGCGGCUCUUAAAAUACAGUCGGGCGGUGAUGAGAAUCAAGGAAUUUGUUUUAUGUGGCCUAUAUAAACUUUUAAUAAAUAGGAUAAAUCUAUCAGCCUAAUCAUAAAAAAAUGUAUUGGUUAUAAAACAUUGUUUGUUGACUGAAUACUGCAACCUGCUGAGAUCAUUUUAGCUUUGUCUUUUCUUCAUGGAGUAAAUCAGGCUUUUAGGUUUCAAGAAAUUGUGACAUUGUUAUAUGUUCUGCCCCUCAAUAAUACAGAUCAAUUAAUAAACAGCAUAAUAUGUAGUUAUGAGACUGACUGCUGCCUUGACACACCAUGUACGAUUUUUUUUGGCCACUCUCUCUUUUGCAGCAUUUUUUUCAAUAGCUUAUACUAUUUAGAUUCUUUAAUUAUAGUUAACGUUGAGUUUUCUAGCUUCAUGCAUUGCUUUUAAUAAUACAUAUUGCUAUGAGGUAUAACAUUUGGUUCAGGGCCUCUUUUAAGGCAGGGCCAUAGGAAGCUCUUUUCGAUUGGGGGGGGGCUGAAAGCGAGGGCCGAAGGCCCGAUGAAAUUUUUAAAUGUAAAGUCUCUAAAGUGCCAUUUCCAGGACUUUGGGGAAGAUUUGACAGAAUUCUGAUGGUCAGAAACCAGCGUUUUAGUGUGUUGAAAUUUACAAUUUAGUAGUACUAAAUGGAUGAAGGCAUAUUUAAUGAACUAUAUAUUAGAUAAGUUGCAGGAAAAUAUGAGUAAUAUCUUCAUCCUUUGCAGUUUGUCAUGGAUUAAAUGAUAAAGGUCUGCAUGAUUUUGAAAAUGAUUAUUAGCAAAUUAUUGGGGGGGGGGGAGGAUUGCAACCCCCCUGGUUGCUUCGGCCCUGUAAGGAUGUGUAACUGGAAGGGACAUAUUUAGCGGGG